rnacentral:rRNA from 1 species
CAGUAGCCGCGCGGUAAUACAGAGGGUGCGAGCGUUAAUCGGAUUUACUGGGCGUAAAGCGUGCGUAGGCGGCUUUUUAAGUCGGAUGUGAAAUCCCUGAGCUUAACUUAGGAAUUGCAUUCGAUACUGGGAAGCUAGAGUAUGGGAGAGGAUGGUAGAAUUCCAGGUGUAGCGGUGAAAUGCGUAGAGAUCUGGAGGAAUACCGAUGGCGAAGGCAGCCAUCUGGCCUAAUACUGACGCUGAGGUACGAAAGCAUGGGGAGCAAACAGGAUUAGAUACCCCCGUAGUCCCUGUCUCUUAU